UUCAAGUAAUCCAGGAUAGGCUGUGUGCAUUCUUAAUGGCCUAUCCUUGAAUACUUGCACU
rnacentral:pre_miRNA from 1 species